ACGAACGCUGGCGGCGUGCUUAACACAUGCAAGGCGAACGGAAAGGCCCUGCUUUUGUGGGGUGCUCGGGUGGCGAACGGGGGAGUAACACGUGAGUAACCUGCCCUUGACUUUGGGAUAACUUCAGGGAACUGGGGCUAAUACCGGAGAGGAGCUCCUGCUGCAUGGUGGGGGAUGGAAAGUUUCGGCGGUUGGGGAUGGACUCGCGGCUUAUCAGCUUGUUGGUGGGGUAGUGGCUUACCAAGGCUUUGACGGGUAGCCGGCCUGAGCGGGUGACCGGCCACAUUGGGACUGAGAUACGGCCCAGACUCCUACGGGAGGCAGCAGUGGGGAAUAUUGCACAAUGGGCGGAAGCCUGAUGCAGCAACGCCGCGUGCGGGAUGACGGCCUUCGGGUUGUAAACCGCUUUCGCCUGUGACGAAGCGUGAGUGACGGUAAUGGGUAAAGAAGCACCGGCUAACUACGUG
rnacentral:rRNA from 1 species